GAGACACCCCUCCGGGGCAAGACUUGCUUCAGUGGGGCUUUGGUGCUCACUGAGUCUGCCCUCUGAGUGUGUCCCU
rnacentral:pre_miRNA from 1 species